rnacentral:rRNA from 1 species
GAUGAACGCUGGCGGCGUCCCUAAUACAUGCAAGUAGAACGCUGAAGGAGGAGCUUGCUCUUCUGGAUGAGUUGCGAACGGGUGAGUAACGCGUAGGUAACCUGCCUGGUAGCGGGGGAUAACUAUUGGAAACGAUAGCUAAUACCGCAUGACAACAGUUAUUGCAUGAUAACUGUUUAAAAGGGGCAACUGCUCCACUACCAGAUGGACCUGCGUUGUAUUAGCUAGUUGGUGAGGUAACGGCUCACCAAGGCGACGAUACAUAGCCGACCUGAGAGGGUGAUCGGCCACACUGGGACUGAGACACGGCCCAGACUCCUACGGGAGGCAGCAGUAGGGAAUCUUCGGCAAUGGACGGAAGUCUGACCGAGCAACGCCGCGUGAGUGAAGAAGGUUUUCGGAUCGUAAAGCUCUGUUGUAAGAGAAGAACGAGUGUGAGAGUGGAAAGUUCACACUGUGACGGUAUCUUACCAGAAAGGGACGGCUAACUACGUG